rnacentral:rRNA from 1 species
ACGCUGGCUUCCCUCUUUACAAAUGCCAGUUCAGCGACACCCCAGCCUUCGAGCUCAGGGACAACGGCGCCCGGGUGAGUAACACGUCAUUAAUCCACCCUUGGCACCAGAAUACCCCGGGGAAACCCGGAUUAAUGCCGGAUGGCCCUACAGCCUCUCGGGACGGUCGGAAGAGAUAGCUUCAGCCUUCGGCCAAAGACGAGCUCGCGGCUGAUUAGCUUGUUGGCGGGGUAACGGCCCACCAAGGCGACGAUCCGUAUCUGGUCUGAGAGGACGAUCAGCCACACUGGGACUGAGACACGGCCCAGACUCCUACGGGAGGCAGCAGUGGG